GAGAAAUGGGCCCUGUACUGACCCGGGGGUGCAGUGGAUUAGUGAGAGGUACAGGGUGAGGAACGCUUGGGAUGCAUGGGCUAAAGGCCCAAUUUCUUAACAUGAACCUGUGACACAAGAACUUUUCCAAGACCCGCUGAAGAAACUCCAAGAAUGAGCAAAAAUCACCAACUCGCAUAUCAAAGCCACACACCGUCGCCAUUAACGCGUCGUCCUCGAGUUGUGACUCCGGUCUUGCGCGGUCGAUCAAGAACAUCACCGAACCAAAACGGAUUUGGUUUCUUCUUCAACGAAGAAUCAAGCAACGAUUGGAUCCAGUAUGGAAAUUCAAGGUCCAACCCGUUCAGAACCGAAAUUCAGAUCAUUAGCAGCGGAAUGAAGAGAUUGGAGGAAGGAGAACGACCUACCGGAAUCGGCGUGUUAUCGUUGAAAUUUGAUGAAGAUCAAGUGGCGCCGGAGAUUCGGCAACGGAAGCGGAGCACGAGAAUUAAUGGCCUAUUGACAUUUUACACCAUGAAUGGUUGAGAAGCCUUCUUGUUGAUGCUUCUUUCUUCUUACUCCUGUGUUGCGCGAGGAAUGUACGAAAACUCUGUUGGAUGAAAAUUGUAGAUCCUGAGCCUUUUUCUCCUCUUCUGUCCGAUUCGGUUAUCCGUUCGGUGAUUUAGGCGGCGCGAUUUGUAAUAGUCGUUCCGGAUUUGUUAUUGUUUAUGGUGCGGAAUCGGAAUUGGCGUGGUUACGGCUUCUGUUUGCAGGAACGGAAAUAGCACGAUGAAGAUUCCGGCGGUUGAGGUGGAAACGGUGGCUGAAUGAAGGUUUUGGUUGAAGGUUGAGAGUUUGUGUUGAAGAAGAAGAAGUUUGUGAUGAGGUUGAAGAAGAAUUGAAUAGAGGAAGAAGAAGCAGUGAAGAAUGAAGAAGAAUUGAAUAGAGGAAGAUGUGGAAGAGGAUUGAAGAUAGAGAUGGAAGAAGCUUGAAGAAUCACCAUGAGGUUAGCUUUUAUAUUGUGUAAGAACUUGUGUUUCUCUCCAAUUUUCUGUUAGAAUGGUCUAAAAGUUUGUUAGAGUUGUUAGUUAGUUAUCAAUUUUCUGUUAGAAAGUUUAUGCAUGAUUUUCAUUUGGAUUUAGAAUUUAAAUAAUGCAGAAUUUUUAUAAUGUUGAA